GCCUCGGUGGUAUAGUGGUAGAGCACGAGUCCCGGAAUAGAAUGAAAUGCGGGUUCGAUUCCCGCCUGAGGCU